rnacentral:lncRNA from 1 species
UUACGUCACCGUCGACUUCCACCGGACAAAAGUAACGCCAACACGUAGAGGAGAAGGAUACGAAUACUUUUAUCUUAAAAUCACACAAUUAUUAAUAAUAAUAAAUGCUAUACAAAUGAAUUUAGUAUAAAACUCAAAUACAAUACCUAUCCCUCUGGAUAAAAUAAAACUUAAAACAACAAGGGCGAGGAAACUCUAUAAAAAAUAACAGGAAUCACAAGUAAAACUACUAGUCGUCUGCAUCUUCUAACUGAAUCUUCGAACCUGUGUCACUGAAAGGGUGGAAGAUUUGGGGUGAGAACAAACCACACGUUCUCAGUAGGGAAUGGGAAUGCCGUAAAAGUAAUGAAUUUAAUGCAAAUAAUUAACUUACUUAGUAAAACUAUUUUGGUAAAUUUUUGAAAAUACUUUUAUUUCCACUUUAGAUAAACAAUUACUUUUCUUUAAAUUUCUAAAACUCAAAACAAAUUUUAAAUAUAAAACUAGUCACAUUUUCUGUCUCUCAGCCACAUAGUUAAUCCUUAGUCAAAUGUCAACUCGUAAUCACUUUAAUACACUCACAAACAAAAAGUGCAAGCAAGAGAUUCAAACCAACAUACAAACAAGUCAAACAGCACAAUCACAGAGGAGUAAUACAAGCAAACACAACCAAAUACAAAUGUGCAAACAACAUGAUGCAUGUCUAUCCCUAACGCAGGCCAUGAGCUCAUGUGUCGGUUGCCUACCCGCUUUACAUUUGACUCUAAGACCCAAACAAUGUCACAUAUGCUCUCCUGUGGCAGACAAUCUCUUUAAGUUAAUAUAUCCUUUAGGUCCUUGUUCUCUACUCUCCUGUGGCAGAGAUUCCUUUUCUUAAAAAUCCGAGCUCAAAACAGCACUUAAAACAAAAUCUCUCCUUACAAAUUUGGAUUUAAAACAUUAUGUUUUUCUUAAUAAAUCUAGUUUAAAAAUAGAAUACACCUUUUCUCAACUAAAUAAAUCUCAAAUAAUUUAAUUUUGCAAAACCAAAUCUUUUAAAAUAACUUUUCAAACAAAACCUCAGAUUUAAUAAAAUUUCGGCGGCAUUUUCUCUAAAAUUGGGGUUAGCCACCCUUUUUCGGGUCCCAACUGAACCAUUUUCAACCUCUUUUCAAUCGAGAAAUCAAGUACAUAUUCAUCAAAUUCAGUCACAAACACAACUCAAACUCAUCAUUCAGUUAUUGCAAACAAUCAUAAAUUAUUUACAAAUACCCACUAGACUUCCAUGGCAUUCAUAGUUUAAAAACAGUUAAUUUCAAAACAAAAUCCCCUACCUUCGUAUGAAAUCAAAAUUAUCGAAAGCUCCAGAGAAGCUUUCUGACCGAGCUGCUGAAGGAGAAAGCGUCAGAAAUCGUCUGUGCUUCCUAGAACUCCAGUUAACCGAACUCAAGGGGUAGGGGAGUUACGUCACCAUCGACUUUCACCGGACAAAAAUAACGCCAACACGUAGAGGAGGAAGAUACGAACACUUUUACCGGAUUAGAUUUUUCAUUGGAGUUACGGAUCUCAAGAAAUCGAAGUUGGAAACUCACGGUUCCAUGGUUUCCGUUCUCUUCUCUCUCUCACGGUGUUUCUUUUCUUUUCUUUAUCAGGUUCGGUGAAUGAAGAAGGAAUAUGUGCAAUUAAUGAAAGGAGGUACGUGUUAUGAUCUAAGGUCGUGUGUGAUAAAUAGAUGAUUUGGUGUCACCAAUCUUUCUUUUCUUCCCAAGUACAAGUUCGGUUAGCAUAAUGAAUUGGAGAAGAUAUUUAUUUGGUGGAAGAAUGAUUUGUCAAAGCAAAGCAAAGUUAAAUGUCAU